rnacentral:rRNA from 1 species
CCUACGGGUGGCAGCAGUGGGGAAUAUUGCACAAUGGGGGAAACCCUGAUGCAGCGACGCCGCGUGAGUGAAGAAGUAUCUCGGUACGUAAAGCUCUAUCAGCAGGGAAGAAAAUGACGGUACUUGACUCAGAAGCCACGGCUAACUACGUGCCAGCAGCCGCGGUAAUACGGAGGGGGCAAGCGUUAUCCGGAUUUACUGGGUGUAAAGGGAGCGUAGACGGCAGAACAAGUCUGGAGUGAAAUCCCGGGGCUUAACCCCGGAACUGCUUCUGAUACUGUGCAGCUGGAGUGCAGGAGGGGGGAGCGGAAUGCCUAGUGUAGCGGUGAAAUGCGUAGAGAUUAGGAGGAACACCGGUGGCGAAGGCGGCUUACUGGACUGAAACUGACGUUGAGGCUCGAAAGCGUGGGGAGCAAACAGGAUUAGAUACCCUUGUAGUC